rnacentral:lncRNA from 1 species
UUUUUUUCUUUUUUGUUUUUUAACAUUAUUCUGACUUAAUUUUAACUGUAAUAUUCUUAAACAUGAAGGAAACUCUUUAUCAGGAUUAUGGAAUUAAAGAGCAUUUCUUGAUUAAGCAUGCCUUUACUUGUAGUUCACACAUUUCAUUUACAUAAACAAGUGUUAAGUACUACUUAGCACUAUAUGUUCUUCAUAAUAGAAAAUACAAAGAUUCCUUUCAUGAAAGAUGAAAGCUAAAUGAUGCAAAUUAUAAACAAUGCCACACAUGAAACAAAAUGAAGUCUGGCUUUCCUGAUGCCAAAGAGAUGUUGAGAGUUCCACAAAACAAACAAAAAUAUAAAAAUCACGGCUGGGCGUGGUGCUUGUGCCUGUAAUCCCAGCACUUUGGGAGGCCGAGGUGGGUGGAUCAUGAGGUCAGGAGAUCGAGACCAUCCUGGCUAACAUGGUGAAACCUCGUCUCUAUUAAAAAUACAAAAAAAUUAGCCAGGUGUGGUGGUGGGCACCUGUAGUCCCAGCUACUCGGGAAGCUGAGGCAGGAGAAUGGCGUGAACCUGGGAGGUGGAGCUUGCAUUGAGCAGAGAUCGCAUCAUUGCACUCCAGUCUGGGCAACAGAGCAAGAUUCCAUCUCAAAACAAAAAAAAAAGUAAAAUCACUUUGUGAAUGUCUGUGUUGAUCAGGUAAUGUGUGCAACAGAUUAGCUGUCGUCUGACUUCCAAACUGUAGGGGAGACUUCCACUUUCUGCUUUACUCAUUUCUGUAUUCCUUGAAAUAUUUGUUUGCAUGACUUCUCUCUGGACUAUAUAUAGUCUAUAGUUCAUGUAUACAGGGACUCUCUCCCCCUUUCUAUUAACUCUAGGGAAGUAUCAGCACCAUACCCAUUGUUACAGAGAAGUCUUAUGAGUUUUAGCAUGAGAAAAUUAUUAAAUGUAAUUGAAGAAAUGAGGACUAGAUUAGUGAAUGCUAGGAGUCAGAAUGGGGGUAAGGGAGUUGGAUGAAGCCAUAAAUUGCAACAUGAGGAAUCUCUGUGGUGAUGGAACUGUUCUGUACCUUGAUUAUAUCAAUGUCAACAUCCUGGUUGUAAUGUUAUGCUAUGGUUUUGUGAGAUACUGGCCACUGGGUGAAACCAGGUAAAAGAUAUAUGGAAUCAGUCUAUACUAUUUCUUAGAACUGCAUGUGAAUCUACAAUUAUCUCAAAAGGAAAGAUUUAACUGGAAAGCGACAGUAACAGUAUAAGCAAUUAAACAAAACAGGAACCCAUGAGUUCAUACUGGUAUAAAUGAGUGAAUAAAUGAGAAAAAAAGUUUCUCACAGAAGAAUGCCAGUAUGUUUUGAAAAGAGAAUUAGAAAUUCAUCAUUUGGCAACUAUCAGAAUAAUAAUUAAUUCAUCCAAGAAAUAUCAAUGGAUGCUAAAACUAGACAUUAAAAUUUGAUGAGGAACAGGAUACUCACAUAGCCCCAAUUUCCUCUCUACAGGGUGCUUAUUACAAAGGAAAAAAUGAUUGAGGGUGUGUGUGCAACAGGUAUCUGUUUUCUUCAUAGUGGACAAACCUAGUAGACACCACCUUAACUGCAUAAUCAAAGUAUCUAAUAGGACAAAUCAACAUGACGUGCUGUUGGAUGGGAUGUGGUCAGAAGAACCACAGCAGCAUUUCUGUCUUGUUUUGUCAAAGAUAAAUGACCUAAAUACAAUUUAAAAUGUCAGACAAGCCAAGUUGAGAGACACUCUAAAAAAUGACCUGUGAUCUUUAAGUGACAAGGUCAUGAAAGUCAAGAAAAAACUUAGAGACCGUUGAAGAUUUAAGAAGACUCAAAGAGAGAUAAUACAGCCAGCCAGCUUGGACUAGGUUAUUUUGCUAUAAUGGACAUUAUUGGACAAAUUGAUGAAGAUUGAGUGGGAUCUGUGAAUGAAAUGGUUGUUUCUGUAUCAAUGUUAAUUUCACUUUAAUAAUUGCAUUGAGGUUACGAAAGAGAAUGUCCUUAUCUGUAGGAAUUACAUAAGAAAGUAUUCAGGGGUGAUGGG